AUGACGGCUGAGCUCCUGCAUACGAGACACUGGGCUUCGGAGCUGGCACCAAGUAAACUCUCCAUGGAAGUUUUUAUUAUUAUUAUUAUUAUCGUUAUUAUUGAUAUAUGCAGCUUGCUUACUGCACAUCGUUGUGAAGAGGGAGCUGCUGAUGUGCUCUGUGAAUGGGCAGAGCUCAGCUGGCGUGAGGAACGAUUGCUUCAGAGGAAAGGAAGGAAUUGUCCCAAGAAAUCUUCCCUUUGUUAAAAUGGACGCAAAGCUACACCGAAGAUGGGUUUCUCUUUCUAGCUGGGUAUCGCCAUUGAUCUGAAUGCCUUCGUCCAGCCUUUCCGUGCUCUGAUCUGUCGCGUCCGUCACGGACUUCUGACCUCCAGUGUCAGGAUCCAGGAGUGAAAAACCACUUGAGUUGAGAUGCUUCGUCGGACUUUUGGGAAGAGGCAGAGAACUCCAAGUUGGGAUGAAAUGCCCCUUCAAAGUGAGAAAAGACCGAAGGUCAUAGUUCUUGUUCGUGACUUUACCCUAAGUCCUAAAAGGAGAGGUGAUGUGUACGUUGCAAUUUCCGAUUCGACAGUCAUCAAUAUCUUACCCUUCUGUGGUGGCCUCCCUGACUUCAAUCUUGAUUGCUUUAAGGCUAACUAAUCACCAGCAAGCAGGGUAUGUGUGUGCGUGUGUGUGUGUGUGUGUGUGUGCGUGUUUAACAAACGAGGUCUCUUGUCUUUCCUGUGACUAUAGCCAUGACAUGGGAAGAGCCUUUAAUUAAAUGCAGCACUUAGCGCAACAAUUGUUUGCAUGUAGGAGGCCACAGAAAUGGAGACAGCUGGAAUGGAUAGUCCCUAAAUUGUAGGCUUUGUCAGGACUACAAGAUUCAUAAGCGGUCCUAAUAGCAUGAUAAGGUGUUAACCUCAGCAACAGAGCAAUUAUCUGUCCAGUGACUGACCGCCACUCUCUGUAGCCACUAGCCCGUGGCAGUUAAUUGAUUUACACUGUAUAGAAGUCAUAUAACAACAACAACAACAAAAAUGUCACAGAGACUUUAUGUUAAUUAAAAACUGAGAUUACAUUUCCCUAUGAGGUGAUGUGUUUGAGAUUUUCAUACCACCCAGAAAAGAUAGCCAACUAUUUGGUAAUAAGUUUUCUUUGCCUGAGACCCAAUAACCCCUCAUCCAUCGUGGUUCCUUCGGUGGCUGGAAGAGCUGCCCCGGCUGGAUAACACACUCGAGUUGUGUGACCUCGGACAAGUGUCCUCAUUGCUCUGAGCCUCCGUGGCUUCAUCUCCAAGGUGAGGAGUGAAUUCUAGACCAUCUCUGACCUCCAAGAUCUUUCUUGGUUCUGAGAGUCCGGGCUUCUCAGAGUCCGUGGGCUGUGUAGUGAGGAAAGAUGACACCAUUGAGCGGGAGUCAUAGUUCGGAGCAACUCAGCUCUUUCAUCUUCUACUUCUCAUUUCCAACUUGGAAGUUUAAUCUGCUUUCUGACCAUCCUGUUUAUUUAUAACUUUUUUUUUUAUAUGUGCACAGUGGAUUUUUUCCGGCCCCUUUGCUGUAUUUUUGCUAUACGAUAAAGCUAUUCAUUUCCAGAGAUUUAAAAAACCGUCUCAGCAUCUCUUUAAUGGGAAAUCCAAUGAAGAGAGUCUAGACAGGCCCUGCGGCAUCCGCUUACUUGGUGUGAUGUGGCACUGUAGGGAGAAGGGGCCUCCUGGGGCCUCUGUGGAUGGUGGAUAUGGGGGGUCUGCUCGUGUGGCCUCACCUAUGCCUGUGAGAGUGGACCCCAGUUUGUGUCCCUGGUUUCCCAGUCUAUGGAGCGGAUGCACUGGGUGGACUGUUCCCUCACGUCUCUUUCAGCAGCAGCUUUUGAUGACUCUCAUUCAUUCUGAGGAAAAGGAAUUUUCUUGAAAUUACAGCCUUUGAAGGUGUAUGAGUUUAGAGAGAGAAAGAGAGGCCCCGGAAGCCGUUUAUAGGAGCAGAGUCUGGCUGGGAAAGCCUAGCAUUUUGUGGAUGGCAAGUCAUGGUGUAGGGCCAUGAGUUACUCUUCAGUGAAAAGAAAAAUAGUGGUCAAGAUUAGUAGGCAAAGAAAGCAAAACGGUCGAUUCCAUUCUCUUGGUCUUGGAAUCUACCAUCCACUUGCCUGUCUUGGGGCUGCCUUUCCCUGACGUAAGCUCUCUUGGAAGUCGCCUCUGCUUGUAAGGUGAAGGGAGUGUGGCCACAAGGGACUGCUUUUACCCAGAGUCUUAGUUGUCACGCGUCAGCAGGCUUCCAGUGGAAGGUCUCAGGAACACGCAGGGGUCUGGGGAAACUGUUCCCAGCAUCCUGCACUUACAUUGACUUUGCCCAGUGACACACACGCCAAAGACCCCCGUCAUGGAAGGUCCCUGUAACUGUGACCACUUCAGAGUCACAUAGGCUCAGCUCACUGUUAAUCUUAGCAGAGAAGAAAAUUAAGAGUGUGCAGUAGCAAUCUAUCCACAUAAUUUCCAGACUCGGUUCUGGAGGCUGGUUCCUAGAAGCAGCGUAGAACCUGGAUCCAGCCUGCCUCAGUGCCGGUCCUGGCUCUACCUCGUGUCCACACAUUCAUGGGCAGGAUCCUUUGCUUUUCCAUGCCUCAGUUUCUCUCUUCUAGGGAGAAUAAUGACACUUUUCCCCUAAAGCUGUUCUGAGGAUUUAAGGAGUUAAUGGAUGGAAAGUUCUCAGGAAGUCCUGGUUGAAAAUUUUGCUGUGGUCAAUUCUGGACCAUCUAUGAGCAGGCUACGUAUGGGUAUGUUGUACAGCAGCAGAAGGCCCCGUACAUGUUGAACUCCAGUGCUGUUAGCCCGAGAAUGAAGCUCAAGAUAACUUGAACAAAGAGCCCUCCCUUUUCAUUUUGUACUGGAUUCCCCAAAUUCUGUAGCUACUUCUGUCCACAAGGCUGUGGUGCUAAAAUCUGAACUCUGUAUACUGUUGACCCCAAGAUGGCCAACCUUUGCAUUACCUUGUUGAGAAAGGUCAGAUUUUCCCUUAAAAGAAUUUGGCUCAGACUUGAGCUAAAGUACAUAUUUUAUGCACAUUUGUGUGGGGUCAGUGAUU
ensembl:lincRNA